AUCUUCGUGGUGUAGUGGUCAGUACGCUCGACGCGUAUUCGAGAGAUCCGUGGUUCGAAUCCCGGCUAGGGCA
rnacentral:tRNA from 1 species